rnacentral:rRNA from 1 species
UACGUAGGGGGCAAGCGUUGUCCGGACUUACUGGGCGUAAAGCGCGUGCAGGCGGAUUGGUAUGUGCCGUGUGAAAGCUCUCGGCUUGCCCGAGAGAGGUCGCGGUAGACAGCCGAUCUGGAGGCUCGGAGAGGUUAGUGGAAUUCCCGGUGUAGUGGUGAAAUGCGCAGAUAUCGGGAGGAACGACCGGUGGCGAAGGCGGCAUCCUGGACCGGCAUUGACGCUGAGGCGCGAAAGCCAGGGGAGCAAACGGG